rnacentral:rRNA from 1 species
UACGUAGGGGGCAAGCGUUGUCCGGAUUUACUGGGCGUAAAGAGCGCGUAGGCGGAAGUUUAAGCGUAGCCUGAAAGCCCCCGGCUCAACCGGGGAGGGUGGCCGCGAACUGGACUUCUUGAGGGCGAUAGAGGAGAGCGGAAUUCCUGGUGUAGCGGUGAAAUGCGUAGAGAUCAGGAGGAACACCCGUGGCGAAGGCGGCUCUCUAGUACGGUACUGACGCUGAGACGCGAAAGCGUGGGGAGCGAACAGGG